rnacentral:lncRNA from 1 species
AUCUUUUCACCUAUCAAAUAUAAACCAAAUUAUAACCUAAAAGACCUAGAUCCCGACAAUCUCUACAAUCAGCCGCAGACCUAAAGACCUCAGCUAAAAAAUGGAACGACAAACACGUUGAAGACCCUAGAGACAGCUAAAAAAUCUGAGUCGUUCCCCCCUCUCCAUCAGCGACAAGAACACCCAAAACUGAAGAAUCCCUCUAUAGCCGCCACUGCUUCUGAACCCCCUAAAAAUCUCAGUCGCAGACCACUCUAUAUCCUCCACACCUGGCCGUCGCUAUCCACCACCCCAAGAGAACGCAAAUUCCAGCCUCCCAGACUCACUACACACAAAUACACAAUCAGAAAAUUUUAAAAAAUCAAAACUAAGAGGGGCGGACGAAGGUGACGAGCACAACAAAAAUAGUGUUGAUUUCUUCGUUUCUAAUCUCAGACGUCUGCUACCAAAUGGGGUUUGUUUGAGUCGAGUUCGUCGUGGUUGAUGCUCAUUUUUCGAGUUUUCCGGUCGAGGUCCUGCUGCUCUUGUUCGGAGGUUCGUCGAAUAUUUUGUUUGAAACUUAUUCACUGUUUGAUUUUUUUUUUCGAUAUAGUUGUUGUAAUUGCUGAGAUUCAUUCUUCUCCUCUCUUCUAUUGUUUGCGUUGUUAAUUUGGUGUUGUGACAAAUACUUCAACAACUUCGUGAUUCUGGGUUAGAUUCUGCCUCCAUUUGCUUUUCUUUGAAUGGUCUCAACAUGGUUAUCAGGUUUACCAGCCUCUUGACCAUUUAUUCAAACUGUUCCAUGUGUGUUUGGGUAGUCAUUAUUUUAAUUGUUAAUUUUCAGUUAUAAGAAAAAUGUUAUAAAUAUGUCGGAGAACAAAAUUACUUAACGUGGUAAUGAGUUUAGUCAGAAUAUCUUAUCAACCUAUAUUUGUUUGUUUCACUUGAGUAGGUUUGAGGUCAUUAUUAGGGAAAAGGAAUCUUGUUAGUUGAAAUUGAUUGAAAUAUAGCAUUGGUCUAUUAUUCAAGUUUUUCUUUGAUUUUGGUUUCUGAUUGUGUGAUAACAUCAAGCAUGAUAUUGGCUUAUUUGAGUUCUGUUUAAAAUUUCUGUAAUCAUGUUCAUUAGAGCUGCAAACUUUGGUUUAAAGGUUGAUUUUGUCUUAUCUCUUAAAGUGUGAAUGGUUGUUUGUUAUUAAUUUGUGUGAACUUGUGGGGUAUUUACACAUAGAAUUGAAUUAAAGUGUCAUUAUCAUAAUUUGAAUAUGUUAUGGUAUUUUUCCGGUAAAACUAAAAACAAGAAUAAACAUUGAAUUUAUCAUGUAAAUUAUUCUACUUUAUUUGUUUGGAUCGAUAGUAGCAUACUUAGGCCGUUAAUAUUCAUAAACAUCGUAGCUUGCUUUAGGCGCUAUUAAACAUUUAUCAUAACCAGGAGUAUGGUUCCCGUGACGAAGUUGUGAUACUUAAUUUCAAAUUAGCUUUAAAUAUGAAUAUCCGUAGUUUAAUGCAUUUCCUUUUAUAAAAUUGAGGUGUGCCAUACAAUCACCUAGUCUAUGGCCCUCACAUUGAUAUCUUAACUAAUGUAGAAAAAUGCCUCGAAUGUUUGUAGUUUGCUUUAGGCGUGCUAAUUAAUAAAAUUAUCAUAGCUACGGGUACGGCUUCCGUGACGUGGUUGUGACACUUAAUUUCUAAAAUUCGGGAGUACAUUUUAUGUGACACGGUUCUAAUUCCAACACGGUUAAAUAGAAUGUGUCGUGAAUCAUGGGUGCAUUUCAUGUAGCGUGGUUUACAAUGUAUUUUAAAUAAUCUUGAAAUAAUUCCUUAAAUAAAUAAAAGCGAUUUUAAAGUUAAAGAGGCACAUAGUUUUAAAAUCAGAUAAUUAGGCCAAUGAUAAUAGUUGAGCGACCGUGCUAGAACCACGGAACCCGAAAAUGCCUAACACCUUCUCCCGAGUUAACAGAAUUUCUUGCCUGGAUUUCUGUGUUCGCGGACUGUAAAACAGAGUCAAACUUCCUCGAUUCGGGAUUUUAAACCGGUGACUUGGGACACCAUAAAUUAUCCCAAGUGGCGACUCUGAAUUUUAAAUAAAAAUAAUCUCGUUUCGAUUGUUACUUAAAUUGGAAAAACUCCCUUAUACCCUUUCGGGGGGUAGGAAAAAGGAUGUGUGACAGCUCUGGCGACUCUUCUGGGGACAAGAACCCAAAAUCUUUGGUUCAGGGUUCAAGAAUUCGAGCUUAGAAUAAUUUUUAUAUUUGACUUUAUUUAUUAUCUGGUUUUAUUUACAUGUUUGGGCCUAAUGUGCUAAAUGCUACUUUUUACCGCUUUAAUAUUGUUGAACUGUAUAUAAAUUGUUGCGAAACCCUCAUCUCUCUAAGUCUUCUAAAUCAUCUGGGAAGUGUGCACUUCGUGUGACUUCUCUUCUGUUAGAGUCAUAUCCCAAUUUUAGAAUGAGGUUCGGACAAGUUGCAAAGCCGGUGAAGCUUCUGUAUUCCCAGUACGCUGCCCCUCCUCGGCUCGAGUUGUUCGCUCGGGUAAGCCGGUCAGGUCUAGAACAAAUAAACCUAGGUUUUUAAACCUAGAAUAACAUAGCAUCAUGUCAGAUCCCUAGUAAGAACGCUUGUUUGCAUCACGUGCAUCUGACUUUGGGGACUCAACAUAGGGGUUGGGUCCGUUUAGGACAUGUGUAUCCCAAAAAAUAAAAGAUCAUCCUGAUGCAUCCUAAUGUGCUACAUGUUGCAAUCUUCAAGGGGAAAAGGGUCAUUUGGCGGACCAAUAAUAGUUGAGGGCAAAUGAAAAAAAAGGAAACAAAGAAAAAAAGAGGGUGAAGUGUGAAAAUAAAGCAAGUAGAGCCCAGUUAUGUUUUCUUUCACAUUUUUGUUAAGAAAAUAAAACAUUAAAAAUUCAAAAAAAAAGAUUUUGCACUUUUUCAUCAUUUUUCGAAAAUCGAAAAAUCAAAAAAUCAAAAAAAAAGGAAAGGAAAAUCCAAAAAGAGUUUACAUGUUUCAUCUUUUUUCAAAAAAGACAAAAAAUAUAUUUUCUCUAAAUCAGUUUUUUUUAGUUCUUGUCCUUAUCCAAUCUUCUUGAACUACGCGAACCUGAUUCUUGUCUCUCAGGGCGAGAUACGUAGGCAACACACAUAGGGUCCGGUCUUCCUAGUGAAUCUUAGGUUCUUGGCUUUGCGGGGUCUUAGCUAAAUUUUGCACUUCUAGCCACCUUUUGGCCAAAUAAAAUAUUUUACAAAAAUAGCCUCAAUCAUGUCUUGCAUGUGUUCAACAGGAAGGAUUAUUGUCUCACAAAGCAUUUUAAGUCUUUAACUUAUUUGGUUUUAAUUUUUCUCAUACAGGUGUGGAUUUACUUACUAGGGUUUGAGCAUGACAGACGCUCCAAGACCAUUUAGUCAGGAUCGCUCAUUCAGGAGUGGAUUAAAAUGAGAUUUUCUUUUUUCUUUUUUUUAUGUUUUGAGUUUUUCUUUUUAUGUUGUCUUUUACCUUCUAGUUUUGUAUAGUAAUGUCGAAUUUUUUUAUUAUUAUUGUACUUUCUGUUUUGCAUUUGAAAAAGUGUGUUAUAAAUCAAAAAAUCCAAAAAAAAGAGGUAUUUUGCAUUUUUAUAUUUCCGUUAGAAUUUUCUUUAUAAAUAAUACUCCUGGAAACUAAAAAAAAAUUGAGGUGAUUUUUC